GUGGGUAUAGCUGAAGUGAUAGAGUGCAUGUUUAGCAUGCAUGAGGUCCUGGGUUCAACCCCUAGUACCUCCU
rfam:Camelus ferus unplaced genomic scaffold scaffold995, whole genome shotgun sequence.